CAACCGCCGCGGUAAUACGUAGGGUGCAAGCGUUAAUCGGAAUUACUGGGCGUAAAGCGUGCGCAGGCGGUUAUAUAAGACAGAUGUGAAAUCCCCGGGCUCAACCUGGGAACUGCAUUUGUGACUGUAUAGCUAGAGUACGGCAGAGGGGGAUGGAAUUCCGCGUGUAGCAGUGAAAUGCGUAGAUAUGCGGAGGAACACCGAUGGCGAAGGCAAUCCCCUGGGCCUGUACUGACGCUCAUGCACGAAAGCGUGGGGAGCAAACAGGAUUAGAUACCCGAGUAGUCCCUGUCUCUUAUAC
rnacentral:rRNA from 1 species